GGUAAACCCGACGAGGAAUACACCUCCAAAUGUACAAAGGAGCAGACGCGCCAGUUUAUUAAGAUCAGGGAUGAGAACCACCACCUUUUUACUGGAGCUAAAACUCAGCCACCGUGGUUUGGAGGACAAUUCUGGAGAAGAUGGACAAACAGGGGAAGUUUCACCCCCUUUGCAGGCCAAAACAAUG